GGAAGUUGAAGGCCAAAAACAUCUGGGGACCCCAGGUUGAGAACCACUGAGCUAAAGCAUCCCCCGCCUCUCCAGAGAAGGACACCCCACCACCUCUCUAGGCAGUUGCUUCCAUUGCCAAAUCUAUUAGUGUCAAGAAGUCCCUUCUAAUGUUCAAUAGUGGCAACACCGCACUGUGACUAUCAAGAAGUUCUUUCUAAUGUUCAACAGUGGCAUAACAGCCUUGGAGGGAGAAAGGUUUUAAGUUCUCCUUAGAAAUCAAAAACAAUCGACACUACUGAAAACGGCCAGCAUUCCUCUCCCUUUUGCAUUAUUGGGUUUGGAUGAAGGAAGAAAGAGGGGCUCCAUCUUCUGUGGCUUUCAGCUGUAGCCGCAGAACAGUGUUCUCUUGUUCCCCAGGCCAAAUAGGAAAACAGAUAAAUGAAAGCAAGUUCUACUAAUAACUGUGGGAGAGCAACACUACACACACCAGGGAGAUAAUAUGCAGCAUUGUGUGGAACUCCUUUCUGCUUCACACUGGUCUGAACAGGAAGACAAGAAGAGCCCUCUAGAGGACACAGACUGCAAUGCUAUGGAAUACAGUAUUGCAAAAGAAAAGGUAAGCACUUCUGAAGACAAAUAUUCUAAACAGCUGUUAAUAGCUCACUCUUGAGUUUUUAUUAUAUUCAAUGUUGUUAUCAGUUUAAAAGUGUUACAUUGUAUUCCUUUUAGUUAGUAAAUCACCUUGAAUUUCUUUUUUGAGGGGAGUGAAGUGUGAGGAGUAACAAUAAUCCUAUUUUUUAAUUCAAUUGUCAUCACUAUUAGCCUGUGUCAUUAGUGUCCAGUUCCCAUCAACUUCCUUCCUUUUUGACAGUCUUUGUAUAGAUAAUUGAAGUAAAUAGAUGUAAUCUUAGGAGCAGUCUUCCACUAUGUUGGGCACCUGUUUGAAGGAGAAAUCAAGAUUUCUCUGCUGCAAACCAUCUGGAAAUUUAAGACCUUAUUCCUGCUUUUGUAAGUCAAAGGAAAAGGGAACAACAUGAUCUAUGACAACAUUUAGGUUGAUCUUUGUUUGUCCUCGGGGAAUUGAGCUGAUUCCUUUUGUCUUCAGUGCAUUUGUACAGUUUAUGCAAAAGUUUUGAAGGUAUGGCAAGGCCGGGUUCUGGACACACAUCCCAAAGCCACAUUAAGGGCCUCAUUAUUUCCUGGGCACACAAAUAUCCUGCCCCAAAGUGUGCUGGAGUCUCCUUCUCUUGAGGUUUUUAAGCAGAGGCUAGAUGGCCAUCUCUCGGGGGCGCUUUGAUUCUGUGUUCCGGCAUGGCAGGGGGUUGGAGUGGAUGGCUCUUGGGGUGUCUUCCAACUCUAGGAUUCUAUGCAAUUAUACAGAAAACUGCAUCAGACAUAAUUGUAGAUUGUGAUGGAUGGGUCAACAUGUUUGGGCAAGUGGCCAGUGGUUGCUGCCACAUACAAUGAUGGAUAUUGUACCCGAGAUUGUCAUGAAUCAUGAUGUCUGAACCUAGCAGCACCACAAAAUUUGGCUUCCCUUCACAACAACCCAGAGGUAUAACUAAUUUUCUUUAAGGUUUAUUUUUGUAGCUUUUCAAGUGCUAAGUUCAAAUGUCACAACCAAUCCACUGAUACAGCAAUGUGGUAGGUUUAGCUCUCCCACUGCAAACAGGAGUAAUGGGCCAAUAUCCACCUGUGGGCUGCCAUGCUCACAAGAAGGCAACAUUUUGUAGAGUGCUGGAUUCUUGUUCCAUUGUCAUUGUCCAAAAUUAACAUUCCAAAAACAAAUGUGCAGAGACCGUCUGUGUAGAGAUGACUUUGCAUCUGGGAAAAAUUCUGACAUUAAUAUGCACAAAAUAUACGAAUGGUGAUGCUGUGAUCCAGAUGUGUUUGAACCUGGCAGGUUUGGCCCUAUAGGCACUCUUCUGCAUGCUAUAAAUCAAGGCUUCUUAAACCUUUUCAAUUUGCAACCCCUUUCUGCCCAAGAAAUCUUUACAUGAUUCCAGGUAUAUAAGUAUAUUUAAUAGGUAUAAAAUCAAGCAUUUGCUAGAUGAUUUUCCUUUUUAUUAAGUGCAGUUGAAGCAUUUUUAUGAAGUACAGUUGGAGCCACCAGGUGUUUUUUUUUUGUGUUAGAAGACUUGAGAAACUGCCAGUCACUUCUGGUGUAAGAGAAUUGGCUGUCUGCAAGGAUGUUGCCCAGGGGACGCCUGAAUGUUUUUGAUGUUUUACCAUCCGCAUGGGGAGCUGGAGCUGACAGAGGGAGCUCAUCCACACUCUCCUUGGAUUCAAACUGGCAACCUUCAGGUCAGCAACCCAACCUUCAGGUCAGCAGUCCUGCCAGCAAAAGAGUUUAACCCACUGUGCCACCAGAGGCUUCACUAGGUGGUGGUCAGAAACCUUUUACUAUUGCCAAAUGUUUCGUGACCAACGUGCUAAAGCAGGGGCCCUCAAACUACAUCUGGUGAGUUGCAUUCGAAGGAAGGUAAAGGCAAAUCCCCUUUGAAUAAAUAUUGACAAGAAAACUGAUGGGGUUGUCUUAGGGUCACCCUAAGUCUGAAAUGACUAGAAGGAACACAACAACAAUCCUAAUGAACAUGACUUUUCGUCAGCCAAAAGCAUGCUCACACUUCCCAUUGAAAUACUGAUGUUUAUGUAGGUUAAAAUUGUUCUUCAUUGUAAAUAUUGUAUUAUUCUUUUGUUUUGUUUUUUGCACAAUUUUGUUCAAACUUCCGUCUGUACCCCCAGUUUGGGUGACCAUAAACUGGAUCUCUGCUUAAAAUUUUUGAGGACCCGUGUACUAAAAGGAACUCAUUUGGGGUUGAGACCCACAGUGUAAGAAGCAGCACUCUAAAUUACUUUCACACACGGCUCUCACAGAAUUACUAAAUGAAAAGAGAGAGAAAAAUGGGAAACAUUUUUAUUAACAGUUUGGAACAAAAAUUAGAUAUGUUUACACCCCAAACACCCAAUAAACUAUCAAUUAUAAUUUUUUCCUCUUAUGAAAUAUAACUUAACAGGAUUUCAUUAAAAAUAAAAGUUACAAAGAUCCCAGUGUCACAACUUUGUUUUCAGGAAAGAAAACUAAUACACUAUGGAUUGUAAUGUGCACCCUUAUGAAAGAUAACGAAAAAUAUUCUACAAUAAAAAAAUAAAAGUUGAAAAAUCCCAGUGGCACACCAUUGGUUUGGGGGAGAGAGAAGAUGAGCAUUACAAAGAAGGGCUCACUACGGCCAAUGUCCUGGAAGGACUUGGAGGCAAUGUCCAACCCGCUGUACAGAAAACACCACCCAGUCCCCAUCAAAAAUGGUUGGCAAUCUGUUGGAGACAAUUUCACUUCUCUCUGUUAAGAAACAGUUUAUUUAGAAAAUACAGCCUUUGAGCUUCACUUCAUUGAAAAGAGGUGGGAAAGUGUCUUAUUGGAGGAAAUUUUGGGAAUAUGGUUAGGUCGAUAUCAAAUAGAUGUUCAUCUGAGUCACUAUAUGUGAAACAUUAAGAUGAUGAUAUGUCUAGUCGUGAGGAGGGUCUGCGUGCAUAACUGCCUCUGAAAACUGCAAUGUAGAGGAAACUCUUAGUGGAAUUAAUAUAAGCUAUUGGCUAUUGUCCACCCGGAUAAAAGCAUCUUGGUCACAACCCCACCAAUCUGUUUAUUUUCAUACUGCAGAUGAAGGAACAGGACAGAAAGGCAGAAAUCAGCCUAUCACUGCACUCUCCUAUGUCUACUUCAAGCACCAACAAUUUAUUCUCUUCUGCUUUGGUUCUACCACCUCACAUCCACCGCAAGGAGGGAAGCAACCACCAUAUUUCUACUGUUGUCUUAGAAACUGGGAUUUAAAAUUGAAUGAGGUGACUAUUUGGCAGCACAGCCUUUGCACAAUCCACUCCAGUCCACAUGAAGUAACAAUUCCCCAGAAUGAGACACCAAGGAAGAUAGUACCUUCUUCUCAUGCAGGGUCUUCCCUUUUAUCCCUUUCUUGGAAGAGCAUAAAGAAGGCAGCCUGGGAGUUCAGUGGCUCCCCCCUUCACCCCAAGUAAACCGUCUCUACCCCCCUAUUCAGCUAUAAUGAGUGAUAUCAUCAAGUCACUUGAAAAUCAGUCCUGGGAAAGAAUGGGAAAGUCAAGGAUGAAUAUUUUCCUCAAUAGAAGCAAUGGUGAGAACUGUCUGAUCAAAUAGGAGCAAUCUAAGGCUACAUGUGAGGAAGUAACACCUGCCCCAGAUAUUGUCACCUGUCAUCAUCUGGGUUGUGGACCAAAUAUUCUUUUUCAGAACUGCAGUCUUUUCUUCCAGAGAGGUGGAUGUGUCAAUCCCUAUGCCACCAAUGGUAGGGGUAAUCUCAGUGUGGGAGGCAGAGAUGAUUUAUAGGUUCAAAUUUCCUAAGCAGGUCCAUCUGUUUUCUUCUGUAUGAUGGUUAUGUGCUUGCCCAGGGAAGAAAACAAAUGGCUGACUAUAGAAAUAGUAAUGGAGAGCCAGAUCUGCCUGUUCCCAUGACCAUCAGUGCCUAGGCCCUAGAUAGGUGUGAUUCUGGGAAAGGACCAAAUUUACUGCCUCUUCAGCUACCUUUUGGAAGGACUGAAUAUAGCCUGUCACCGCUAUGGGACCUUAAUGGCUACAUUUGUAGAGGCUGAAUAUGCUGUUAGCACUCAGUACUACCAAGAAAGCUUUAUUGCUGUAUCUGCAGUAUAGCUUCUUACGUUUUUUGCCCAUUACCAUGGAGGAAAGACUGGAAGUGCUACUACCGAGUAUAAGCAGUUCUCUUUCCUGGAAACUGGCAACCUCGCUACCAGGCCAGAACCAAGUUUGGCACUACAAAUGCAGUAACUUAUACAAUACUCCAAUUUUGCUGAGUAAGGGGUUCCCCUAAACACAAUGAAUGUGGAUGUGAGGAUGAAAGUGUGAUACUGCAAACCCAGUAGGAAUGAAAGGGAGAGAUAAAAGGUGGAGAGAAGUGCGUGGAUGUAUGCUGUUUAAAUGUGUGUGUGUGUGUGUGAGAGAGAGGGGGAGGGGGGGAGAGGUUGGAGGAGAUAGUGCCAUGUGGCUAUUUUAUGUGUAGUUAGAAAGGAAAGGAAAUGGAAAUGGGCAGAGAAAGUGGAAGACAAAAGGGAUGGGAGACACAACAAAGAGAGAAAGGGGAUAAAAUUGCGAGACAGAAAAUCGGAAAUAAGAAUGAAGAGAGAUAACGUGGGCUAUGCCCAGAAGUGAUAGAAAAAACAUCUACUUUUAGUCAUGUGUAUGAUUGCAUACAGUGAACACUGUGAUAAUGCUGACACAGGACAUCAACAAUCCCAGAAGAGUCCUAUCCUCAGCCUUGUUGAUUGUGCAGGCCUUCCUGGAACGGACCAAAAGAAGGACGUCUUUUCCGCUUAGCCAGAGGAAAGGGGUAGGAAACUCCAAACCUCUUCCUCUUGAUGUUGUUGCAAAAAUGAUGGGGCAAGUUCUACUUUCUCACGCCUCUUUGCUCCUAUCUUUAUAGUGCCAAUAGCACUGGGCAAAAUCCAGAGAUUAAAUUCACCCAAAUCUUG